CCUACGGGUGACAGCAGUGAGGAAUAUUGGUCAAUGGCCGCAGGGCUGAACCAGCCAAGUCGCGUGAGGGAUGACGGUCCUAUGGAUUGUAAACCUCUUUUGUCAGGGAGCAAAGGGCGCCACGUGUGGCGCUUUGCGAGGACCUGAAGAAAAAGCAUCGGCUAACUCCGUGCCAGCAGCCGCGGUAAUACGGAGGAUGCGAGCGUUAUCCGGAUUUAUUGGGUUUAAAGGGUGCGCAGGCGGAAUGUCAAGUCAGCGGUAAAAUUUCGGGGCUCAACCCCGUCGUGCCGUUGAAACUGGCGUUCUUGAGUGAGCGAGGAGUAUGCUGAAUGCGUGGUGUAGCGGUGAAAUGCAUAGAUAUCACGCAGAACUCCGAUUGCGAAGGCAGCAUACCGGCGCUCAACUGACGCUCAUGCACGAAAGCGUGGGUAUCGAACAGGAUUAGAUACCCGUGUAGUC
rnacentral:rRNA from 1 species